GCCCUAAUCCUCUGCCGUAAUUCGCGUCUUCCAGACCUUCCUAUCUAGGGUCAUGUCCUCGGUGAGCUGUAACUGUUCCAUGUCCCGCCUAAUCACCUCACCCCAGUACUUCUUCGGCCUACCCCUACCCCUCCUAAAACCAUCCAACGCUAGGCUCUCACACCUACGGACCGGGGCAUCCAUGCCCCUCCUCUUCACGUGUCCGAACCAUCUCAAUCGUGCUUCCCGCAUCUUGCACUCCACUGAAGUCACACAAACCUUCUCCCGGAUAGUCUCAUUCUGAACUCUAUCCCCUCUAGUCAGUCCACACAUCCAGCGCAACAUCAGCAUUUCUGCCACAUUCAGUUUUUGGAUGUGGGAGUUCUUAACUGGCCAACACUCCACUCCAUACAACAAGGCCGGACGGACUACCACCCUGUAGAAUUUGCCGUUAAGCUUGGGCGACACCUUCUUAUCGCACAGCACCCC
rnacentral:lncRNA from 1 species